rnacentral:rRNA from 1 species
AGAGUUUGAUCCUGGCUCAGGACGAACGCUGGCGGCGUGCCUAACACAUGCAAGUCGAACGGAAGUAAGAGCUUCGGUUUUUACUUUAGUGGCGAACGGGUGAGUAACGCGUGAGGAACCUGCCUUUCAGUGGGGGACAACAGUUGGAAACGACUGCUAAUACCGCAUAAUGUUUCCGGUCUGCAUGGACUGGAAACCAAAGCUUUAUGUGCUGAAAGAUGGCCUCGCGUCUGAUUAGAUAGUUGGUGGGGUAACGGCCUACCAAGUCAACGAUCAGUAGCCGGUCUGAGAGGAUGAACGGCCACAUUGGGACUGAGAUACGGCCCAGACUCCUACGGGAGGCAGCAGUGGGGAAUAUUGGGCAAUGGGGGAAACCCUGACCCAGCAACGCCGCGUGAAGGAAGAAGGCCUUCGGGUUGUAAACUUCUUUUACCAGGGACGAAGGACGUGACGGUACCUGGAGAAAAAGCAACGGCUAACUACGUGCCAGCAGCCGCGGUAAUACGUAGGUUGCAAGCGUUGUCCGGAUUUACUGGGUGUAAAGGGCGUGUAGGCGGAGCUGCAAGUCAGAUGUGAAAUCCCGGGGCUCAACCCCGGAACUGCAUUUGAAACUGUAGCCCUUGAGUAUCGGAGAGGCAAGCGGAAUUCCUAGUGUAGCGGUGAAAUGCGUAGAUAUUAGGAGGAACACCAGUGGCGAAGGCGGCUUGCUGGACGACAACUGACGCUGAGGCGCGAAAGCGUGGGGAGCAAACAGGAUUAGAUACCCUGGUAGUCCACGCUGUAAACGAUGAAUACUAGGUGUGGGAGGACUGACCCCUUCCGUGCCGCAGUUAACACAAUAAGUAUUCCACCUGGGGAGUACGACCGCAAGGUUGAAACUCAAAGGAAUUGACGGGGGCCCGCACAA